rnacentral:rRNA from 1 species
CAUGCAGUCGAACGAAGUCCAUGGAGCUUGCUCCGGAAGAUUUAGUGGCGAACGGGUGCGUAACACGUGAGAAACCUGCCCUGGACUUUGGGAUAACAGUUGGAAACGGCUGCUAAUACCGAAUGUCGUCUUUUUCCCGCAUGGGGAUUUGAUGAAAGGUCCGCCGGUCCGGGAGGGUCUCACGGCCUAUCAGCUUGUUGGGGGGGUAAUGGCUCACCAAGGCAUCGACGGGUAGCUGGUCUGAGAGGAUGAUCAGCCACACUGGGACUGAGACACGGCCCAGACUCCUACGGGAGGCAGCAGUGGGGAAUCUUGCACAAUGGGCGCAAGCCUGAUGCAGCAACGCCGCGUGCGGGAAGAAGGCCUUAGGGCUGUAAACCGCUUUCAGUAGGGAAGAAAAUGACGGUACCUACAGAAGAAGGUGCGGCCAACUACGUGCCAGCAGCCGCGGUAACACGUAGGCACCAAGCGUUAUCCGGAUUUAUUGGGCGUAAAGAGCUCGUAGGCGGUUCAGUCAGUCGGGUGUGAAAACUUGAGGCUUAACCUCAAGAGGUCACUCGAUACUACUGUGACUAGAGUGCGGUAGGGGAGCGGGGAAUUCCUGGUGUAGCGGUGAAAUGCGCAGAUAUCAGGAGGAACACCAGUGGCGAAGGCGCCGCUCUGGGCCGUAACUGACGCUGAGGAGCGAAAGCAUGGGUAGCAAACAGGAUUAGAUACCCUGGUAGUCCAUGCCGUAAACGUUGGGCACUAGUGUGGGUCUCAACCAACGAGAUCCGCGCCGUCGCUAACGCAUUAAGUGCCCCGCCUGGGAGUACGUCGCAAGACUAAACUCAAAGAAUUGACGGGGCCCGCACAAGCAGCGGAGCGUGUGGUUU